AAGGGCACUUCUUCCGCAGGCGGCCCCAGUUCAGCAGGUUCCCAGUCUGCAGGUGCAGGGUGCGGGCCCGCGCCAGGAGCGCCCCGGCCGCGCGGCUGUCGGUGCCCAUGGAAGCGGCUGUCCGAGGAGCCAAGAGAGAAAGUAUCCUGAAUGGGUCAGUGAGGAGCCCAUCCCAAGCUUGCAGGAAGGAUUCCUGGUCCUCCUAUCAUCUGUAUAUCUAACAAGGUGUUUCCUAUGCAAGGUUCCAGCUUGCUCUUUUGAGGAAAUUUAACUUACUAGACAGCUUAAUGAAAAGAAAGACCAUAGACAGUGGAUUCUACUUUUCUGAACUCCUAGGAGACAUGCUUGGCCACAAAAUCCAAGAUAUCUCCCUAAAAGUUAUCUUCAAAUUAUAUACAACCACCACCCACCACAACCAAGAGUGAGCCCCCAGCAACCCCAGUGGAACAUUUUCCAGGGAAGGAAACUAACUCAUCUUCAUCUAUUUCAAGGUAUUGAGACUGCAAUAUGGUUUGUCUGGAAUGUCCUCCCAAAGCUCAUGCAUUGAAGGUUUGGCCCCCAGUGAAGCAGUAUUCAGAGCUAUAGGAGGAUCAACUCAGUGUCAUUAUCAUUCAAGACCAAAGAGACCACCAAGCUGUGCUGGAAACCAAGAACAGCUCUGCGACUGAACAGCAUGCCUGAAAUGUUCUCUGGCCAGGUGCUGUCUCUGCAGAACUCUGUGAACGGAAUGUCCUCUGAAACUCACCAUGACACAAGAUCAUGGCUGUGUUCCCUUGUAAAAGCUAACAGUAUACGAAAUCAAUAGGAAUACUCUAGUCUGGGCAAAGCUUGCCUCAUGGAAGACCCACAUUCAAGCCUUGAUAAAUAUGGACACCUCAUGGAAGACCCACAUUCAAGCCUUGAUAAAUAUGGACACCUGUUCAGAAAGCUGAGCAUGUGGCAUGGUGAGCUGUGGGGAUGACCCCAAGGAGAGCACAUAUUUUGGGGAUCCUCAUACUAUACCAUCUCAGUAACUUAUAAACCAAGUGAACCAACUACUAAAUAAUGAACUUCUUUAUGACCUGGGAUCAAAUGUCAACUUCUUGGUUUCCUUGGAGUUCCAC